rnacentral:rRNA from 1 species
UACGUAGGGUGCAAGCGUUAAUCGGAAUUACUGGGCGUAAAGCGUGCGCAGGCGGUCUGUUAAGAGAGAUGUGAAAUCCCCGGGCUUAACCUGGGAACUGCGUUUCUAACUGGCAGGCUUGAGUGUGGCAGAGGGGGGUGGAAUUCCACGUGUAGCAGUGAAAUGCGUAGAGAUGUGGAGGAACACCGAUGGCGAAGGCAGCCCCCUGGGCUAACACUGACGCUCAUGCACGAAAGCGUGGGGAGCAAACAGG